GGACGAACGCUGGCGGUGCGCCUUAUGCAUGCAAGUUGAGCGAAGCUUUUUGGUAGUUUACUACUAGAAAUGACUGAGCGGCGAACGGGUGAGUAACGCGUGAGCAAUCUACCUUAGUUACUGGGAUAGCCCGAGGAAACUCGGAUUAAUACCGGAUAUUCUUAUUUUUUCACAUGAAGUUUUAAGGAAAGGUCAGCCGAACUAAGAUGAACUCGCGUUCUAUCAGCUAGUUGGUGGGGUAACGGCCUACCAAGUCUACGAUCUAUAGCUGGUUUUAGAGGAUGAUCAGCAACACUGGGACUGAGACACGGCCCAGACUCCUACGGGAGGCUGCAGCAGGGAAUAUUGUGCAAUGAGCGAAAGCUUGACACAGCGACACCGCGUGUGGGAUGACGGUUCUAGGAUUGUAAACCACUUUCAGGAGGGAAGAAAAUGACGGUACCUCCACAAGAAGACCCGGCCAACUAUGUGCCAGCAGCCGCGGUAAUACAUAGGGGUCAAGCGUUGUCCGGAUUUAUUGGGCGUAAAGAGCUCGUAGGCGGUUCAACAAGUCGGUCGUAAAAGUUUAGGGCUCAACCCUAAAAUGUCGAUCGAUACUGUUGUGACUAGGAUACGGUAGAGGUGAAUGGAAUUCCGAGUGUAGCGGUGAAAUGCGUAGAUAUUCGGAGGAACACCAAUUGCGAAGGCAGUUCACUGGACCGUGAUCGACGCUGAGGAGCGAAAGCUAGGGGAGCAAACAGGAUUAGAUACCCUGGUAGUCCUAGCUGUAAACGAUGGAUACUAGAUGUAGGAACUGGAUUGACGGUUUCUGUAUCGUAGCUAACGCGUUAAGUAUCCCGCCUGGGGAGUACGGUCGCAAGACUAAAACUCAAAGGAAUUGACGGGACCCCGCACAAGCGGCGGAGCAUGCGGCUUAAUUCGAUGAUACCCGUAGAACCUUACCUGGACUUGACAUAUAGGGAAAAACUGGAGAAAUCCAGUGUGCGUAAGCGCCCUUUACAGGUGGUGCAUGGCUGUCGUCAGCUCGUGUCGUGAGAUGUUGGGUUAAGUCCCGCAACGAGCGCAACCCCUGUCCUAUGUUGCCAGCAAGUAAUGUUGGGGACUCAUAGGAGACUGCCGGUGAUAAACCGGAGGAAGGUGGGGAUGACGUCAAGUCAUCAUGCCCCUUAUGUCCAGGGCUGCACGCAUGCUACAAUGGCAAGUACAACGAGUCGCAAUACCGCGAGGUGGAGCAAAUCUCUUAAAGCUUGUCUCAGUUCGGAUAGGAGUCUGCAACUCGACUCCUUGAAGUUGGAGUCGCUAGUAAUCGCAAAUCAGCAAAGUUGCGGUGAAUACGUUCUCGGGGUUUGCACACACCGCCCGUCA
rnacentral:rRNA from 1 species